CAGGACGAACGCUGGCGGCGUGCCUAACACAUGCAAGUCGAACGAGAAUCUACUUACGAAAUUUCGGAUGGAUUAGGUAGAGGGAAAGUGGCGAACGGGUGAGUAACGCGUGAGCAAUCUGCCUUGUACUGGGGGAUAACGUCGGGAAACCGGCGCUAAUACCGCAUAAUACUAUGAGAUCGCAUGGUCAUAUAGUCAAAACGUCCGGUGGUACAAGAUGAGCUCGCGUCCAAUUAGCUAGUUGGUGGGGUAAUGGCCCACCAAGGCGACGAUUGGUAGCCGAACUGAGAGGUUGAUCGGCCACAUUGGGACUGAGACACGGCCCAGACUCCUACGGGAGGCAGCAGUGGGGAAUAUUGCGCAAUGGAGGGAACUCUGACGCAGCAACGCCGCGUGAAGGAUGAAGGUUUUCGGAUUGUAAACUUCUUUGAUCGGGGACGAAAUUGACGGUACCCGAGGAACAAGCCACGGCUAACUACGUGCCAGCCGCGGC
rnacentral:rRNA from 1 species